rnacentral:rRNA from 1 species
GGUUAAGCGACUAAGCGUACACGGUGGAUGCCCUGGCAGUCAGAGGCGAUGAAGGACGUGCUAAUCUGCGAAAAGCGUCGGUAAGGUGAUAUGAACCGUUAUAACCGGCGAUGUCCGAAUGGGGAAACCCAGUGUGAUUCGUCACACUAUCGUUAACUGAAUACAUAGGUUAACGAGGCGAACCGGGGGAACUGAAACAUCUAAGUACCCCGAGGAAAAGAAAUCAACCGAGAUUCCCCCAGUAGCGGCGAGCGAACGGGGAGCAGCCCAGAGUCUGAAUCAGCUUGUGUGUUAGUGGAACGGUCUGGAAAGUCCGACGGUACAGGGUGAUAGUCCCGUACACCAAAAUGCACAGGUUGUGAACUCGAAGAGUAGGGCGGGACACGUGGUAUCCUGUCUGAAUAUGGGGGGACCAUCCUCCAAGGCUAAAUACUCCUGACUGACCGAUAGUGAACCAGUACCGUGAGGGAAAGGCGAAAAGAACCCCGGCGAGGGGAGUGAAAAAGAACCUGAAACCGUGUACGUACAAGCAGUGGGAGCACCUUUAUGGUGUGACUGCGUACCUUUUGUAUAAUGGGUCAGCGACUUAUAUUCUGUAGCAAGGUUAACCGUAUAGGGGAGCCGCAGGGAAACCGAGUCUUAACUGGGCGUUAAGUUGCAGGGUAUAGACCCGAAACCCGGUGAUCUAGCCAUGGGCAGGUUGAAGGUUGGGUAACACUAACUGGAGGACCGAACCGACUAAUGUUGAAAAAUUAGCGGAUGACUUGUGGCUGGGGGUGAAAGGCCAAUCAAACCGGGAGAUAGCUGGUUCUCCCCGAAAGCUAUUUAGGUAGCGCCUCGUGAACUCAUCUUCGGGGGUAGAGCACUGUUUCGGCUAGGGGGUCAUCCCGACUUACCAACCCGAUGCAAACUACGAAUACCGAAGAAUGUUAUCACGGGAGACACACGGCGGGUGCUAACGUCCGUCGUGAAGAGGGAAACAACCCAGACCGCCAGCUAAGGUCCCAAAGUCAUGGUUAAGUGGGAAACGAUGUGGGAAGGCACAGACAGCCAGGAUGUUGGCUUAGAAGCAGCCAUCAUUUAAAGAAAGCGUAAUAGCUCACUGGUCGAGUCGGCCUGCGCGGAAGAUGUAACGGGGCUAAACCAUGCACCGAAGCUGCGGCAGCGACACUAUGUGUUGUUGGGUAGGGGAGCGUUCUGUAAGCCUGCGAAGGUGACCUGUGAGGGUUGCUGGAGGUAUCAGAAGUGCGAAUGCUGACAUAAGUAACGAUAAAGCGGGUGAAAAGCCCGCUCGCCGGAAGACCAAGGGUUCCUGUCCAACGUUAAUCGGGGCAGGGUGAGUCGACCCCUAAGGCGAGGCCGAAAGGCGUAGUCGAUGGGAAACAGGUUAAUAUUCCUGUACUUGGUGUUACUGCGAAGGGGGGACGGAGAAGGCUAUGUUAGCCGGGCGACGGUUGUCCCGGUUUAAGCAUGUAGGCUGGUUAUCCAGGCAAAUCCGGAUAAUCAAGGCUGAGGUGUGAUGACGAGGUACUACGGUGCUGAAGUAACAAAUGCCCUGCUUCCAGGAAAAGCCUCUAAGCAUCAGGUAACAUCAAAUCGUACCCCAAACCGACACAGGUGGUCAGGUAGAGAAUACCAAGGCGCUUGAGAGAACUCGGGUGAAGGAACUAGGCAAAAUGGUGCCGUAACUUCGGGAGAAGGCACGCUGGUGUGUAGGUGAAGUCCCUGCGGAUGGAGCUGAGACCAGUCGAAGAUACCAGCUGGCUGCAACUGUUUAUUAAAAACACAGCACUGUGCAAACACGAAAGUGGACGUAUACGGUGUGACGCCUGCCCGGUGCCGGAAGGUUAAUUGAUGGGGUUAUCCGUAAGGAGAAGCUCUUGAUCGAAGCCCCGGUAAACGGCGGCCGUAACUAUAACGGUCCUAAGGUAGCGAAAUUCCUUGUCGGGUAAGUUCCGACCUGCACGAAUGGCGUAAUGAUGGCCAGGCUGUCUCCACCCGAGACUCAGUGAAAUUGAACUCGCUGUGAAGAUGCAGUGUACCCGCGGCAAGACGGAAAGACCCCGUGAACCUUUACUAUAGCUUGACACUGAACAUUGAGCCUUGAUGUGUAGGAUAGGUGGGAGGCUUUGAAGCGUGGACGCCAGUCUGCGUGGAGCCAACCUUGAAAUACCACCCUUUAAUGUUUGAUGUUCUAACGUUGGCCCCUUAUCGGGGUUGCGGACAGUGUCUGGUGGGUAGUUUGACUGGGGCGGUCUCCUCCCAAAGCGUAACGGAGGAGCACGAAGGUUAGCUAAUCCUGGUCGGACAUCAGGAGGUUAGUGCAAUGGCAUAAGCUAGCUUGACUGCGAGCGUGACGGCGCGAGCAGGUGCGAAAGCAGGUCAUAGUGAUCCGGUGGUUCUGAAUGGAAGGGCCAUCGCUCAACGGAUAAAAGGUACUCCGGGGAUAACAGGCUGAUACCGCCCAAGAGUUCAUAUCGACGGCGGUGUUUGGCACCUCGAUGUCGGCUCAUCACAUCCUGGGGCUGAAGUAGGUCCCAAGGGUAUGGCUGUUCGCCAUUUAAAGUGGUACGCGAGCUGGGUUUAGAACGUCGUGAGACAGUUCGGUCCCUAUCUGCCGUGGGCGCUGGAGAAUUGAGGGGGGCUGCUCCUAGUACGAGAGGACCGGAGUGGACGCAUCACUGGUGUUCGGGUUGUCAUGCCAAUGGCACUGCCCGGUAGCUAAAUGCGGAAGAGAUAAGUGCUGAAAGCAUCUAAGCACGAAACUUGCCCCGAGAUGAGUUCUCCCUGAGACUUUAAGUCUCCUGAAGGAACGUU